rnacentral:rRNA from 1 species
UGGGGAAUAUUGGACAAUGGGGGGAACCCUGAUCCAGCCAUGCCGCGUGUGUGAAGAAGGCCUUAUGGUUGUAAAGCACUUUAAGCGAGGAGGAGGGUACUGGUAUUAAUACUACCAGGUACUGGACGUUACUCGCAGAAUAAGCACCGGCUAACUCUGUGCCAGCAGCCGCGGUAAUACAGAGGGUGCGAGCGUUAAUCGGAAUUACUGGGCGUAAAGCGCGCGUAGGUGGUUCGUUAAGUUGAAUGUGAAAGCCCCGGGCUCAACCUGGGAACUGCAUCCAAAACUGGCGAGCUAGAGUAGGGCAGAGGGUGGUGGAAUUUCCUGUGUAGCGGUGAAAUGCGUGGAUAUAGGAUGGAACACCAGUGGCGUAGGCGACCACCUGGGCUCAUACUGACACUGAGGUGCGAAAGCAUGGGGAGCAAACAGG